rnacentral:lncRNA from 1 species
CAUUUCUCCGGUGGAAAUCACUUAAUCUUCACAAUUCGAAGUUUUUGGAUGGCGAAAGAUAAGGGGCUAAUGCAAUGACAAUUUAGUGACAAAUUUGAAAUAUGCGCUGGAGCUACUCAAUGACCAGAAUCCAACAGAAUGUGAAUCCAUCCAUAAGUAAAAUCAAACCUGAUACCAAACCAGGUUAUUUUAUUGGGUUUGAGCAUUGUUCUUGCCAGC